AUUGAACGUUGGCGGCAUGCCUUACACAUGCAAGUCGAAACGGCAGCACGGGGCAACCUGGUGGCGAGUGGCGAACGGGUGAGUAAUGCAUCGGAACGUGCCAUUGAGUGGGGGAUAACGUAGCGAAAGUUGCGCUAAUACCGCAUAUUCUGUGAGCAGGAAAGCAGGGGACCGCAAGGCCUUGCGCUCUUUGAGCGGCCGAUGUCCAGAUUAGCUAGUUGGUGAGGUAACGGGCUUUACCCAAGGCGACGAUCUGUAGCGGGUCUGAGAGGAUGAUCCGCCACACUGGAACCUGAGACACGGUCCAGACUCCUACGGAGGCAGCAGU
rnacentral:rRNA from 1 species